rnacentral:rRNA from 1 species
UACGUAGGGUGCAAGCGUUGUCCGGAAUUAUUGGGCGUAAAGAGCUCGUAGGCGGUCUGUCGCGUCUGCUGUGAAAACUCAGGGCUUAACCCUGAGCUUGCAGUGGGUACGGGCGGACUGGAGUUCGGCAGGGGAGACUGGAAUUCCUGGUGUAGCGGUGAAAUGCGCAGAUAUCAGGAGGAACACCGGUGGCGAAGGCGGGUCUCUGGGCCGUAACUGACGCUGAGGAGCGAAAGCAUGGGGAGCGAACAAG